rnacentral:rRNA from 1 species
AAUGAACGCUGGCGGCAGGCCUAACACAUGCAAGUCGAACGGAUCCUUCGGGAUUAGUGGCGGACGGGUGAGUAACGCGUGGGAACAUACCCAAAGGUACGGAAUAGCCUCGGGAAACUGGGAGUAAUACCGUAUGUGCUCGAAAGAGGAAAGAUUUAUCGCCUUUGGAUUGGCCCGCGUUGGAUUAGGUAGUUGGUGGGGUAUUGGCCUACCAAGCCGACGAUCCAUAGCUGGUUUGAGAGGAUGAUCAGCCACACUGGGACUGAGACACGGCCCAGACUCCUACGGGAGGCAGCAGUGGGGAAUCUUAGACAAUGGGGGAAACCCUGAUCUAGCCAUGCCGCGUGAUCGAUGAAGGCCUUAGGGUUGUAAAGAUCUUUCAGGUGGGAGGAUAAUGACUGUACCACCAGAAGAAGUCCCGGCUAACUCCGUGCCAGCCGCCGCGGUAA